rnacentral:rRNA from 1 species
AGGGUUUGAUCAUGGCUCAGGACGAACGCUGGCGGCGUGCUUAACACAUGCAAGUCAAGGAGAACGGAUCCUUCGGGAUACUAUUAAACUGGCGAACGGGUGAGUAACACGUAGGCAACCUGCCUUGGAGAUUGGGAUAACCCCGGGAAACCGGGACUAAUACCAAAUAAUGCAGCGUACCCUUCGGGAUAUGUUGUUAAAGUGGGCUUCGGCUCACACUUCAAGAUGGGCCUGCGUCCGAUUAGCUUGUUGGUGAGGUAAUGGCUCACCAAGGCGAUGAUCGGUAGCUGGUCUGAGAGGAUGAUCAGCCACACUGGGAUUGAGAUACGGCCCAGACUCCUACGGGAGGCAGCAGUGGGGAAUUUUGCGCAAUGGACGAAAGUCUGACGCAGCAACGCCGCGUGAUCGAUGAAGCUUCUAGGAGUGUAAAGAUCUGUCGUGAGGGAAGAAAAAUCUGGAUGUAAAUAAUGUUCAGACGUGACGGUACCUCACAAGAAAGCACCGGCUAACUUCGUGCCAGCAGCCGCGGUAAUACGAGGGGUGCUAGCGUUGUCCGGAAUUACUGGGCGUAAAGGGUUCGUAGGCGUCUUGCCAAGUUGAUCGUUACAGCCACCGGCUUAACCGGUGAUCUGCGAUCAAAACUUGCGAGAUAGAAUAUGUGA